rnacentral:rRNA from 1 species
UACGUAGGGGGCAAGCGUUGUUCGGAAUCAUUGGGCGUAAAGCGCGUGUAGGCGGCUCGAUAAGUCUGCUGUGAAAGUCCAGGGCUCAACCCUGGGAUGCCGGUGGAUACUGUCGAGCUCGAGUCCGGAAGAGGCGAGUGGAAUUCCUGGUGUAGCGGUGAAAUGCGCAGAUAUCAGGAGGAACACCAAUGGCGAAGGCAGCUCGCUGGGACGUGACUGACGCUGAGACGCGAAAGCGUGGGGAGCAAACAGG